AAAGUCGUAACAAGGUCUCCGUAGGUGAACCUGCGGAGGGAUCAUUCACAUGACCCUUGACUAUCAACCAAUCUGCGAACUUGUAACUCUUCUUGUUGAUGAGUUUGUGUCUGGCAACAGUCAGGAACUUGUCGAUUUGGAGAGAACCCCCACACACCACUUCACAGUGUGAUUGAUCAGUUGUUUAACUGACAACUCUCGAUCAUUCUGUCGAACAUUCGAUGAACAAAUUAGAUAGCUGGACCAAAGGCAACUUUUGUCUCAGCUGACCAGUGAGUCCGUCAAACGACUCGACUGUGUCAUCUUAACAUAGAAAACAACUCUAUGCCCUGGAUAUCUUGGUUCUC
rnacentral:misc_RNA from 1 species